rnacentral:rRNA from 1 species
GCACCUUCGGGUGUGAAUUAGCGGCGAACGGGUGAGGAACACGUGAGAAAUCUACCUUCAACACUGGGAUAACUCCGGGAAACCGGGGCUAAUACCGGAUAUGAGAUCCGCAGGCAUCUGUGGAUCUGGAAAGUUAUUCGGUUGAAGAUGAUCUCGCGGCCUAUCAGCUUGUUGGUGAGGUAAUGGCUCACCAAGGCGACGACGGGUAGCCGGCCUGAGAGGGCGACCGGCCACACUGGGACUGAGACACGGCCCAGACUCCUACGGGAGGCAGCAGUGGGGAAUAUUGGGCAGUGGAGGAAACUCUGACCCAGCGACGCCGCGUGCGGGAUGAAGGCCUUCGGGUUGUAAACCGCUUUCAGCAGGGAAGAAGCGAAAGUGACGGUACCUGCAGAAGAAGCACCGGCUAACUAUGUGCCAGCAGCCGCGGUAAUACAUAGGGUGCAAGCGUUGUCCGGAAUUAUUGGGCGUAAAGAGCUCGUAGGUGGUUCGUCACGUCGGAUGUGAAACUCUGGGGCUUAACCCCAGACCUGCAUUCGAUACGGGCGAGCUUGAGUAUGGUAGGGGAGUCUGGAAUUCCUGGUGUAG